rnacentral:rRNA from 1 species
GACGAACGCUGGCGGCGUGCCUAACACAUGCAAGUCGAGCGGGGUUGAGGCGAGAGGUAACUCGAGCUUCUACCUAGCGGCGGACGGGUGAGUAACGCGUGGGCAACCUGCCUCAAGGUUUGGGAUAACAGCCCGAAAGGGCUGCUAAUACCGGAUAUGCCUAUGGCCUCGCAUGGGGCUAUGAGCAAAGGGGAAACCCGCCUUGAGAUGGGCCCGCGUCCCAUCAGCUAGUUGGUGAGGUAACAGCUCACCAAGGCGACGACGGGUAGCCGGCCUGAGAGGGUGACCGGCCACACUGGGACUGAGACACGGCCCAGACUCCUACGGGGGCAGCAGUGGGGGAUCUUGCACAAUGGGCGAAAGCCUGAUGCAGCGACGCCGCGUGAGCGAAGAAGGCCUUCGGGUUGUAAAGCUCUGUCUGGAGGGACGAACAAAAUGACGGUACCUCCGGAGGAAGCCACGGCUAACUACGUG